rnacentral:rRNA from 1 species
UACGUAGGUGGCGAGCGUUGUUCGGAAUUAUUGGGCGUAAAGGGUCCGCAGGAGGUUCGUUAAAUUUGGGGUGAAAUCCCGGAGCUCAACUCCGGAACUGCCCUGGAGACUGACGGACUUGAGUAUUGGAGAGGUAAGCGGAAUUCCAGGUGUAGCGGUGGAAUGCGUAGAUAUCUGGAAGAACACCGAAGGCGAAGGCAGCUUACUGGACAAUGACUGACUCUCAUGGACGAAAGCGUGGGGAGCAAAC